rnacentral:misc_RNA from 1 species
GAUGAAGAACGUAGCGAAAUGCGAUAAGUAAUGUGAAUUGCAGAAUUCAGUGAAUCAUCGAAUCUUUGAACGCACAUUGCGCCCCUUGGUAUUCCGGGGGGCAUGCCUGUUCGAGCGUCAUUAUAACCCCUCAAGCUCAGCUUGGUGUUGGGGCCUGCCGACUGGCAGCCCUUAAAAUCAGUGGCGGCGCCAUCUGGCUCUAAGCGUAGUAAUUUCUCUCGCUAUAGAGUCCCGGUGGAUGCUUGCCAGCAACCCCCAACUUUCUAUGGUUGACCUCGGAUCAGGUAGGGAUGCCCGCUGAACUUAAGCAUAUCAAUAAGCGGAGGA